rnacentral:rRNA from 1 species
UACGGAGGAUGCGAGCGUUAUCCGGAUUCAUUGGGUUUAAAGGGUUCGCAGGCGGCCGGACAAGUCAGCGGUGAAAGUCAGGGGCCCAACCCCGGAAGUGCCGUUGAUACUGGUUGGCUGGAAUGCGGUCUAGGCGGGCGGAAUGUGGUGUGUAGCGGUGAAAUGCGUAGAUAUGCCACAGAACGCCGAUAGCGAAGGCAGCUCGCCAGGCCUGUAUUGACGCUCGGGCACGAAAGCGUGGGGAUCGAAC